UACAGAGGAGCCAAGCGUUGUCCGGAUUGACUGGGCGUAAAGCGCACGCAGGCGGAUGCGCGCGUGGGGUGUGAAAUCUGGCCGCUUAACGGCCAGGCGCCAUCCCAUACGGCGCGUCUGGAGUGAUGCAGAGGUCGAUGGAAUUGCCGGUGUAGUGGUGAAAUGCGUAGAGAUCCGGAAGAACACCGGUGGCGAAGGCGGCCUGCUGGGCAGUAGCUGACACUGAGGCGCGACAGCGUGGGGAGCAAACAGG
rnacentral:rRNA from 1 species